UGAGGAAUAUUGGUCAAUGGGCGUUAGCCUGAACCAGCCAAGCCGCGUGAGGGAUUAAGGCCCUAUGGGUCGUAAACCUCUUUUGCCGGGGGAUAAGAUGCGCCACGAGUGGUGCAGUGAAGGUACCCGGAGAAAAAGCAUCGGCUAACUCCGUGCCAGCAGCCGCGGUAAUACGGAGGAUGCGAGCGUUAUCCGGAUUUAUUGGGUUUAAAGGGUGCGUAGGCGGUUGCUUAAGUCAGCGGUAAAAUUGUCCGGCUCAACCGGAUCAAGCCGCCGAAACUGGGCAUCUGGAGAGACGGUAAGGUAUGCGGAAUGCGCGGUGUAGCGGUGAAAUGCAUAGAUAUCGCGCAGAACUCCGAUUGCGAAGGCAGCAUACCGGUCGUUAUCUGACGCUGAGGCACGAAAGCGUGGGUAUCGAACAGG
rnacentral:rRNA from 1 species